rnacentral:rRNA from 1 species
AGCGAACGCUGGCGGCAGGCCUAACACAUGCAAGUCGAACGGAACCUUCGGGAUUAGUUGCGGUCGGGUGAGUAACACGUGGGAACGUGCCCUUUGGUUCCGAACAAUUCAGGUACACUUGAGCUAAUACCGGAAGUGCUCUGCGGGGGAAAGAUUUAUCGCCAUUGGAGCGGCCCGCGUCUGUGUAGCUAGUUGGUGAGGUAACGGCCCACCAAGGAGAAGAUAAGUAGCUGGUCGGAGAGGCUGAACAGCCACACUGGGACUGAGACACGGCCCAGACUCCUACGGGAGGGAGCAGUGGGGAAUCUUGCGCAAUGGGGGAAAGCCUGACGCAGCCAUGCCGGGUGAAUGAUGAAGGUCUUAGGAAUGUAAAAUUCUUUCAGCGGGGACGAUAAUGACGGUACCCGAAGAAGAAGCACCGGCUAACUUCGUG